CAAACAGCAACCCUGCUGACAGGGGCAGGAGGAGGCAGAGCAAAGUCAUGCAGCUUUGUGAAGUCUCGAAGUGCUUUGCCUCAUCCUGGUUGGUGUCUCUCCAGGUGACAUUUCUUGUGUUUGAGGCACUGGAGGUUAUGGGAAGAGAAACUCAGUGAGGCUCCUGAAGGAUCGGCAUGACCAUGAAAUGCCCUCAAGUCACUCACUGGGAACUGGAACUCUCCUAGAAUUCCAUGAGAGAACUAUGCACCUUACCAUCAAUGAUAUUUUCUUCCUAAGUACUGAAGAUUGAACCCAGGAGCACUUUAUCACUGAGAUACAACUCCAGAGACAGAAUCUGCUGAGUUGGCCUCAAACUUGUGAUCUUCCUACCCCAGGCUCCUGAACUGCUGGGAUUAUAGGCGAGCUCCACUACACCUGGGUCUUGCUAAGUUGCUGAGGCUGGCCUUGAACUUGUGAUCCUCCUGCCUCAGCUUCCUGACUUGCUGGGAUUACAGCUGCGGGCAGAAAGGCGUGUAUUCGAUGUUUCUGUUUAUUUAUUAUCUCCUUCCAGAGGCAUUUUUUAAAAUAAAAAGAAAAAAAAUAAACAAGAAACAUUUUCCAUGAAAAUGUAUCCUCUUGACUACUCUGCUCCUUCUCCACUUCAGAACAGGAACCACACAGAGAAUUAAACAAAGUUCCCUCCCUGCCUCAAGGUUAAUAAAAGA